ACACAUGCAAGUCGAGGGGCAGCAUGGUCUUAGCUUGCUAAGGCCGAUGGCGACCGGCGCACGGGUGAGUAACACGUAUCCAACCUGCCGUCUACUCUUGGACAGCCUUCUGAAAGGAAGAUUAAUACAAGAUGGCAUCAUGAGUCCACAUGUUCACAUGAUUAAAGGUAUUCCGGUAGACGAUGGGGAUGCGUUCCAUUAGAUAGUAGGCGGGGUAACGGCCCACCUAGUCUUCGAUGGAUAGGGGUUCUGAGAGGAAGGUCCCCCACAUUGGAACUGAGACACGGUCCAAACUCCUACGGGAGGCAGCAGUGAGGAAUAUUGGUCAAUGGGCGAGAGCCUGAACCAGCCAAGUAGCGUGAAGGAUGACUGCCCUAUGGGUUGUAAACUUCUUUUAUAAAGGAAUAAAGUCGGGUAUGCAUACCCGUUUGCAUGUACUUUAUGAAUAAGGAUCGGCUAACUCCGUGCCAGCAGCCGCGGUAAUACGGAGGAUCCGAGCGUUAUCCGGAUUUAUUGGGUUUAAAGGGAGCGUAGAUGGAUGUUUAAGUCAGUUGUGAAAGUUUGCGGCUCAACCGUAAAAUUGCAGUUGAUACUGGAUAUCUUGAGUGCAGUUGAGGCAGGCGGAAUUCGUGGUGUAGCGGUGAAAUGCUUAGAUAUCACGAAGA
rnacentral:rRNA from 1 species